CCUACGGGAGGCAGCAGUGGGGAAUCUUGCGCAAUGGGGGCAACCCUGACGCAGCCAUGCCGCGUGAAUGAUGAAGGCCUUAGGGUUGUAAAGUUCUUUUGCCCGUGACGAUGAUGACGGUAACGGGAGAAUAAGCUCCGGCUAACUUCGUGCCAGCAGCCGCGGUAAUACGAAGGGGGCUAGCGUUGUUCGGAAUUACUGGGCGUAAGGCGCGCGCAGGCGGUUCGAUAAGUUAGGGGUGAAAUCCCUGGGCUCAACCCAGGAAUGGCCUUUAAGACUGUCGAGCUAGAGGACGAGAGAGGUGAGUGGAAUUCCCAGUGUAGAGGUGAAAUUCGUAGAUAUUGGGAAGAACACCGGUGGCGAAGGCGGCUCACUGGCUCGUUUCUGACGCUGAGGCGCGAAAGCGUGGGGAGCAAACAGGAUUAGAUACCCUGGUAGUCCACGCCCUAAACGAUGAGUGCCAGGUGUCGGGAAGCUUAGCUUCUCGGCGCCGCAGCUAACGCCUUAAGCACUCCGCCUGGGGAGUACGGCCGCAAGGUUAAACUUAAAGGAAUUGACGG
rnacentral:rRNA from 1 species